UCACAUGGUGCCUUAGAAAGCUUAGAAACUGUUGUUGUUAACAUCGCAGAAUUUGUUGUGCUUCUGGGUAGAUUUGAUCGUAUGUCUCAUAGGCCAUACGAUGUUUAUCUUUACACCAACAACUUCAUGUUUGGGCGACACGCUGAAAAGUUGAGCUUGUUGUUACAGCAGAACGACCCUCCUAGUAAUCAUGCACUGGCAGUUCUCCCGAUCAUAGGUGGUAAACUAACUGGGAAGAAAACUUUGGUUGCUCAUGUGUGCGGCGAUGAAAGGGUUUGCUCACGCUUCUCCUCUAUAUUGCACUUGGAUGGAGACAACCUUUUGAGAAUACUUGAUCAUCGAAGGACCAUGGAAGGUAUGACGUUGGUAGUUAUUGAGUUUGCUUCUGAUGUAGAUGACAAUGACUGGAAAAAGUUCCACUCGUUUUUCAUAAGGAUGGACAGAGGAAGCAAGAUG
rnacentral:rRNA from 1 species